CCUACGGGAGGCAGCAGUGAGGAAUAUUGGUCAAUGGGCGGAAGCCUGAACCAGCCAAGUCGCGUGAGGGAUUAAGGCCCUGCGGGUCGUAAACCUCUUUUGCCGGGGAGCAGUGGUCCGGACGCGUCCGGACCGGGAGAGUACCCGGAGAAAAAGCAUCGGCUAACUCCGUGCCAGCAGCCGCGGUAAUACGGAGGAUGCGAGCGUUAUCCGGAUAUAUUGGGUUUAAAGGGUGCGUAGGCGGGCAUUUAAGCCGGCGGUCAGAUGUCGGGGCUCAACCCCGGCCUGCCGUCGGCACUGGGUGCCGUGAGUGGGCGAGAAGUAUGCGGAAUGCGUGGUGUAGCGGUGAAAGGCAUAGAUAUCACGCAGAACCCCGAUUGCGAAGGCAGCAUACCGGCGCCCUACUGACGCUGAGGCACGAAAGUGCGGGUAUCGAACAGGAUUAGAUACCCCAGUAGUC
rnacentral:rRNA from 1 species